rnacentral:rRNA from 1 species
CUCAGGCGUUGUUGGGUAGGGGAGCGUUCUGUAAGCCUGUGAAGGUGGCCUGUGAGGGUUGCUGGAGGUAUCAGAAGUGCGAAUGCUGACAUAAGUAACGAUAAAGCGGGUGAAAAGCCCGCUCGCCGGAAGACCAAGGGUUCCUGUCCAACGUUAAUCGGGGCAGGGUGAGUCGACCCCUAAGGCGAGGCCGAAAGGCGUAGUCGAUGGGAAACGGGUUAAUAUUCCCGUACUUGGUGUUACUGCGAAGGGGGGACGGAGAAGGCUAUGUUGGCCGGGCGACGGUUGUCCCGGUUUAAGCGUGUAGGUGUGUGUUCCAGGUAAAUCCGGUUCACUUUAACACUGAGGCGUGACGACGAGGCACUACGGUGCUGAAGCAACAAAUGCCCUGCUUCCAGGAAAAGCCUCUAAGCAUCAGGUAACAUCAAAUCGUACCCCAAACCGACACAGGUGGUCAGGUAGAGAAUACCAAGGCGCUUGAGAGAACUCGGGUGAAGGAACUAGGCAAAAUGGUGCCGUAACUUCGGGAGAAGGCACGCUGACACGUAGGUGAAGUGAUUUACUCAUGGAGCUGAAGUCAGUCGAAGAUACCAGCUGGCUGCAACUGUUUAUUAAAAACACAGCACUGUGCAAACACGAAAGUGGACGUAUACGGUGUGACGCCUGCCCGGUGCCGGAAGGUUAAUUGAUGGGGUCAGCGCAAGCGAAGCUCCUGAUCGAAGCCCCGGUAAACGGCGGCCGUAACUAUAACGGUCCUAAGGUAGCGAAAUUCCUUGUCGGGUAAGUUCCGACCUGCACGAAUGGCGUAAUGAUGGCCAGGCUGUCUCCACCCGAGACUCAGUGAAAUUGAACUCGCUGUGAAGAUGCAGUGUACCCGCGGCAAGACGGAAAGACCCCGUGAACCUUUACUAUAGCUUGACACUGAACAUUGAGCCUUGAUGUGUAGGAUAGGUGGGAGGCUUUGAAGCGUGGACGCCAGUCUGCGUGGAGCCGACCUUGAAAUACCACCCUUUAAUGUUUGAUGUUCUAACGUGGACCCGUUA